rnacentral:lncRNA from 1 species
CUUCCUGUGUGGAAGCUGGGAUUCCAAUGGCAGGCAGGAAAUCUUGUAGUAGGUGAUCGUGGCCUUCCUUGGGAUCCCUGUUUCCCCCUUUUAUUCCCUUUUCACCCAGUAAAACCCUGCUUUGCUCACUCUUUAAAGCAUCUGUGAGCGUAAAUUUUUGUGGCCAUGGGAUGGACAAGAACCACAUGUUUACCUGAAGUCCUGUGACAUUUUGGUGUGCAGCAUGGGAGCUCCAAAAGUGAUGCCAGAGGAUGCUAUAGAAAAAUGCGUGCCCUCUUGUAAUACUUUGUUCAAGUUCUGAUCAGAAGGAUGAAUGAUGGAGCCCAAGAAGCCAGAGUCUCAUUGUGUUGCUCAGGCUGGAAUCCAGUGGCAUGAUCUCGGCUCAGUGCAACCUCCGCCUCCUGGGUUCAAGCAGUUCUCCUAGAUCAGCAUCAGCGUCCCGAGUAGCUGGGAUUACAGGCACCCGCCACCAUGCCUGGCUAAUGUUGGUCAGGCUGGCUCGAACUCCUGACCUCAAGAGAUCCACCUGCUUUGGCCUCCCAAAGUGCUCGGAUUACAGGCAUGAGCUGCCACACCCAGCCUCCAAAUACUUUUUUUUUAAAUCAAAAUAAUGAUUUCAAUGACUGAGAUCUG